ACUGUAGUGUGUCAAAUCUAUUCCCAUGCUGGCUGCCAGCCCGUACUCACUUGAAGUGUGGUCGUAGUGGCCGUUCUGCUGGUUCAUCUUGGCCGG